rnacentral:rRNA from 1 species
AUUCCAGCUCCAAUAGCGUAUAUUAAAGUUGUUGCAGUUAGAACGCUCGUAGUCGGAUUUCGGGGCGGGCCGACCGGUCUGCCGAUGGGUACGCACUGGUCGGCGCGUCCUUCCUUCCGGAGACCGUGCCUACUCUUAACUGAGCGGGGGCGGGAGACGGAUCGUUUACUUUGAAAAAAUCAGAGUGUUUCAAGCAGGCAGCUCGCUCUUGCAUGGAUUAGCAUGGGAUAAUGAAAUAGGACUUUGGUGCUAUUUUGUUGGUUUCGAACACCGAAGUAAUGAUUAAAAGGGACAGUCAGGGGCACUCGUAUUCCGCCGAGAGAGGUGAAAUUCUCAGACCAGCGGAAGACGAACUACUGCGAAAGCAUUUGCCAGGGAUGUUUUCAUUG